GGAGAUUUAAACCCAGGUUAUUCCGAAAAGGCGUAGGCGUAAAGAGAAUUUAUACAAGCUUACUAGGAACUGACGAACUUUCAUUUAUUAGAACAUGAAAGUAAAUUGAAUGCGGGCUAAAACAGCUGCCAGAUGAAAGCCUUCAUCCCAAUCCCCGCUGACGUUCCACAUUUUAUCACCAAUAUUUAACUCCAUCUAAUAUGUACACUCGUGUAAAUAAGUACAGCGUGAUUACGCCAAACUAUGUGUGCAUAAUCAUGCGAGUUCUGCUGCAAUCUAGAUGCAUUUUACAGCAAUGCAGUAACAAUUGUAUGAUGUUUGGAUUUUUUUUUAGUUCUGGUGUUAGGAAAAUCGUUCUUUCUUUGUUGGAGGUAGACACAGGACCAUGCGAUUUGGCAUUAAAAUGAACAAUAUUAUUCAGGAAAAAUCUAAGCUGAAUCUGGAAAAAUAACUUAAUUUUUUAUGCAACAAGAAAUAAUUUAUUUUCACAAAAAUAUGUUAUUAUUUAAUUAUAUAUAUUUCUAUGCAUCUAAAAAUGCAUACAUCCUAUUUUGUAUAAUCAAAAUAUAAGGUGAUUUUUAAAAAUAAAAUUAUGUACAUCAUGUGUUGUCAUUAUUUUUUCUAUGAUAUACAUUUUUUUUUAAAUUGUGGCUUUAUAUUUGCAUUUGAAUAAAAUAUUCUUUUAAAAAUAUU